UAGGGAAUCUUCCACAAUGGACGCAAGUCUGAUGGAGCAACGCCGCGUGAGUGAAGAAGGUUUUCGGACCGUAAAGCUCUGUUGUUGGUGAAGAAGGAUAGAGGUAGUAACUGGCCCUUUAUUUGACGGUAAUCAACCAGAAAGUCACGGCUAACUACGUGCCAGCAGCCGCGGUAAUACGUAGGUGGCAAGCGUUGUCCGGAUUUAUUGGGCGUAAAGCGAGCGCAGGCGGAAGAAUAAGUCAGAUGUGAAAGCCCUCGGCUUAACCGAGGAAUUGCAUCGGAAACUGUUUUCUUGAGUGCAGAAGAGGAGAGUAGAACUCCAUGUGUAGCGGUGGAAUGCGUAGAUAUAUGGAAGAAUACCAGUGGCGAAGGCGGCUCUCUGGUCUGCAACUGACGCUGAGGCUCGAAAGCAUGGUAGCGAACAGGAUUAGAUACC
rnacentral:rRNA from 1 species